GACGAACGCUGGCGGCGUGCUUAACACAUGCAAGUCGAACGGUGAAGCUCCAGCUUGCUGGUGUGGAUCAGUGGCGAACGGGUGAGUAACACGUGAGCAACCUGCCCCUGACUCUCGAAUAAGCGCUGGAAACGGCGUCUACUACUGGAUAUGAGAAGGGUCCGCAUGGACACUUUCUGGACUGUUUUUCGGUUGGGGAUGGGCUCGCGGCCUAUCAGCUUGUUGGUGAGGUAAUGGCUCACCAAGGCGACGACGGGUAGCCGGCCUGAGAGGGCGACCGGCCACACGAGGACUGAGACACGGCGCAGAGGCCUACGGGAGGCAGCAGUGGGAAAUAUUGCACAGUGGGCGCAAGCCUGAUGCAGCGACGCCGCGUGAGGGAUGACGGUCUUCGGGUAGUAAACCGCUUUCAGCAGGGAAGAAGCGAAAGUGACGGUACCUGCAGAAGAAGCACCGGCUAACUACGUG
rnacentral:rRNA from 1 species